UUUGAAACACCGGUUCCCGUACAAUCACCGAAGUUAAGCAACGUUGAGCUUUGUCAGUACUUAGAUGGGUGAAUACCACGUGCUGUAA